rnacentral:snoRNA from 1 species
UGCCUUUGUGUUAACAGUUCACUUUUGGGAACUAGUGAAUGUGGUGUCAAAAAAAGGCAUAAAUAAAUGCUUUGCAGUUUUCUUCUUACCCUUAAAUUUAGUAUCUUUGCUGUAGGACCUGCAUUAGCAACAGUU